rnacentral:tRNA from 1 species
GGGCAGGUACCAAAGCGGUCAACUGGGCCUGACUGUAAAUCAGGUGGCCUUGCGCCUUCGGGAGUUCGAUUCUCUCCCUGCCCACCA